AUGCUUCUCCUAAAGACUAAGCCAUGCAUGCCUCGAAUAGAAGAGCAUCUCUCUGAAUCUGCGAACGGCUCCGCAAACCAGUUGUAAACUAUAGCAAGUCCGCCUUGGUGCUGGCCGUAAGGUUGGUGCUGGGGCUACAUGGAUACCCGUGGUAAUUCUGAGGCUAAUACAUGAACGUACCCCCUGAUCAACUGGGUAACCGGGAGGUUGGGGACAGUGCGGUCAGUCGCAGAUUUUGCUGGGAAUAGACGCACUUUCAAACCACCAUACAAGCAGUUGGGGUACCAACCUUCGGGAAGGUGCCCUUUCUGGGUGGGCCUUGCUUUGUGCUUCUGACCUAUCAACUAGAUGGCAGCGUAACGGACAUGCUAUGGUUACAACGGGUACAGAGGAUAAGGGUUCGAUCCUGGAGAGUGGGCCUGAGAGAUUGCUCACACUUCUAAGGAAGGCAGCAGGCGCGUAACGUUCCCCCUGGGCAAUGCUCGAGGGCGUUA
rnacentral:rRNA from 1 species